rnacentral:rRNA from 1 species
CACGCGGUAAACGAUGAAUGCUAGGUGUUGGUGGGCAAAGCCCAUCGGUGCCGUCGCAAACGCAAUAAGCAUUCCACCUGGGGAGUACGUUCGCAAGAAUGAAACUCAAAGGAAUUGACGGGGACCCGCACAAGCGGUGGAGCAUGUGGUUUAAUUCGAAGCAACGCGAAGAACCUUACCAAGUCUUGACAUCCUCCUGAAUGAUGGGUAAAGCCAUCAGGCCUUCGGGACAGGAGAGACAGGUGGUGCAUGGUUGUCGUCAGCUCGUGUCGUGAGAUGUUGGGUUAAGUCCCGCAACGAGCGCAACCCUUAUCAUUAGUAGCCAGCAGGUAGAGCUGGGGACUCUAGUGAGACUGCCAGGGAGAACCUGGAGGAAGGUGGGGAUGACGUCAAAUCAUCAUGCCCCUUAUGAUUUGGGCUACACACGUGCUACAAUGGCGUAAACAGAGGGAGGCGAAAGUGAGAGCUGGAGCGAACCCCAAAAAUAACGUCUCAGUUCGGAUUGUAGUCUGCAACUCGACUACAUGAAGCUGGAAUCGCUAGUAAUCGCGAAUCAGAAUGUCGCGGUGAAUACGUUCCCGGGUCUUGUACACACCGCCCGUCACACCAUGGGAGUCAGUAACGCCCGAAGUCAGUGACCGAACCUGAGAGGGAAGGAGCUGCCGAAGGCGGGACGGAUAACUGGGGUGAAGCCGUAACAAGGUAGCCGUAUCGGAAGGUGCGGUUGGAUCACCUC